rnacentral:rRNA from 1 species
GCCUGAUGCAGCGACGCCGCGUGAGGGAUGACGGCCUUCGGGUUGUAAACCUCUUUCAGUAGGGACGAAGCGAAAGUGACGGUACCUGCAGAAGAAGGACCGGCCAACUACGUGCCAGCAGCCGCGGUAAUACGUAGGGUCCGAGCGUUGUCCGGAAUUACUGGGCGUAAAGAGCUCGUAGGUGGUUUGUCGCGUUGUUCGUGAAAACUCACAGCUUAACUGUGGGCGUGCGGGCGAUACGGGCAGACUGGAGUACUGCAGGGGAGACUGGAAUUCCUGGUGUAGCGGUGGAAUGCGCAGAUAUCAGGAGGAACACCGGUGGCGAAGGCGGGUCUCUGGGCAGUAACUGACGCUGAGGAGCGAAAGCGUGGGGAGCGAACAGGAUUAGAUACCCUGGUAGUCCACGCCGUAAACGGUGGGUACUAGGUGUGGGUUUCCUUCCUUGGGAUCCGUGCCGUAGCUAACGCAUUAAGUACCCCGCCUGGGGAGUACGGCCGCAAGGCUAAAACUCAAAGGAAUUGACGGGGGCCCGCACAAGCGGCGGAGCAUGUGGAUUAAUUCGAUGCAACGCGAAGAACCUUACCUGGGUUUGACAUGCACAGGACGCCGGCAGAGAUGUCGGUUCCCUUGUGGCC